UAGCACGAAUUCACGAACUGCUACCAAAACUAACAAAAUCUGAUUUUAAUUUUUCCGUAGCGUUAAAUGAGUGCUAGAAAAAAAUUCAUUAAGCGGACAAUAGCUGUAAAGUGUUAUUGGAGGCAAAAUAUUUAACCAUUUUUUUUUUCCUUUUCUGCCAUUCUUAAGACUUUUUUUUUCUCUGGGGUUCUUCGAUUGAGACUGAUUUUUAAUAACUUGUUCUUAUCCUUCUUGGUAGAUGGCCAUUCUCAUAUCAUCGUCUCUGGCCUCGAGUCUCAUCUCUGUGUUUCCCCUUUUCUCGUGCUUGGGAUCGAGACGCUUGUCAGAUGCGAGAGAGGAGUGGAGGCGGCGGAGGGAUGCGUCGACGGAUGAGGCUUUUUAACGGAGGGUGAGGUCGUGAUGGGAAGAGGAAGAGAUGAAGGAAGCGGCGGAGCAUGGAGCUCCUUAACCUUCUCCACCACUCUGUGGUCUCCGCUCACCCGCAAUCGAACACGGUCAUGGCGGCGCCUCUUGUCCACUCUCGAGCAUCACCGCCGCGUCUCUACUCAUCAAUCCGCUGUGCUCUGUCGCUAUUAAGCUUGUGAUGUUGUUAUUGUGGAAGACGAUGACAAGAAUGCUGCUGGGAAAGGAAGAAACCUUCAAGUUCUUCGUGAUAUAGGCAAUGUUGUUCGACAAAAUCACCCAAAGAACAACGACCCUGCAAAGAGAGCACUCAUGUGUACCACACGGUGAACAACGACCCUGCAAAGAGAACAAUCACCCAUCUGGACCGAAACUCUCAAGCAUCACACGGUGGAUAUGGUUGUUCGUGUGUAUGUGUUUUGUAUACUGAACCUGAGCUAUGUGUGAAGGCAAUACUGAAUAUUAAGACAAGUAGCCAAAAUUGUAAAGAUAACAAGUUCAUAUUACUUAAGUGUUUUAUUUCUAACUUUAAAAGUACUCAUUUUAAAUAAUUUUAGGUUUUGAAUCACCUUGGAACACUAAUAAUAAAUUAGAAAAGACAAACAAAAAAUAAUAUUUUUACCUCAAGUUCUAAACCCUAUCCAUACCCUAAAUUCCAACAUCUAAACUUACAAUAGUUUUCAAAAUAAACAUUUGUAGAAAUUUAUAACUAAAACAAAAGUAUAUAACUUAAAAAAUAUAAAUUUCAAUAAAAAGAACAAAACAAAACCUAAACCCUAAAGUGGAAACUUAACCACAAACCCUAUUCCCAAACUCCAAAUACACUUCAAACUUAAAAACUUUAGAUUUAAACUUUACACUUUAUAUUAUAAACACUAAAUUUGAAUAAAAACUUUUAUUUUUGAAAACUUAACUAUGAAUUUUAUUAUUAAAUCCUGAAUCCUAUCUCCUAACCCCCAAACCCUAUUCCCAAAACCCAAACAAUAUUCCCAAAAUUCCAAAUCUUAAAUUGAUCAUAAACUUAACAUGUAAACAUAAACUUCAAAAUUAACAUUUUUUCUAUUGGUUCAUUUUACAGCGAUGUGGAUCAUCAUUUAUUUUAAAGUUAAAGUAUAUAUUUUUAAUCCUAAAUUUUAAAUUACAAAUCAUUGUUUUUAUUAUAUAUUAUAGCUUCCAAAAUCUAAUCUUUCAUGUAAAUUCUAAUUCACUAAACCCUACUUGUAUACUUGAAAUGAUUUAAUCUUCACAAUUACUUAACAACUUUAAAAUAUAUACUCAAAGUCUAAAUUCCAAAACCUAUAUUAUAAACAUAUACCAUGAUACUUUGAUACUAUAUAUCAAACACAUAAGUAAUCUAAAAUUUAAACUUUAUAUUAAACUACAAAUUCUAAAUUUUAUUUAAUGUAAUAAUUCUGUUUUGUAUUUUUACUUGUGUGUUUAUUAGAGUAUAAACUCCAAAGCCUAUUUCGUAAACUCUAAAUACUUUACUUCAAACUCUAAGUAGUAGACCAUAAAUUAUAACUAAAUUAUAAAUAACAAAAUAUAAAAGAUACUAAAUUUACAAACUAAAACGAAUUUAUAAACUAGAUUUAUAUAAUUUUUUUUAAAACAGAGUAUAAUUAAGAAAAAAAUAAAGAGGAAAGAGAGUGUGUUUAAAAAAUAAUAAGAGGAAACAGAUCUGACCAAUAGAAAAGAAUGGCGAGGAUAGCUAAGAUAUGAAUCUCUACCGUUGAUAGGUUUCAAUCCAACGGCAUAUAAUUAUUAAUUUUUUUUUAUUUUCUCUUUCUCUCACGACCUCUGCAAUUCUUUUUCACAGAUCUCAUACUAAAUGAUCAAUUUUCUCAGAAUCCUCUCAUGUCUCGUCUCUUCAUCUCUCAUAUCUGGUCAUCUGCAAUCUUCUUUUCUCUGGUGAGCUCCUCACAUCUUCUUCUAAGAAACCCCUCUGUGUCUCCAACCACCGUUGAUAAGCUUCACCACCACGCUCCUUUUGGAACCAUUACGUCGUCACAAAAACACAUCAACGCCUCUGCUCACAUAUCCAUCAUCACCCUCUCUCCUCUCCGGAGACACAGAAACAAGAAACAAAACGUCGUCACCUGUCUCCAUCUCCACCUUGUUUCAGUUGGAAUAUCGGAUAAACAGAAGAUGAAGAACAUCAGGAGACGGAGAGAAGACAGAAGAGGCGAAGUCGGAGCUCUGUAGUGAUGGAGAUGGCGGCUAUGACGACCAUGAAAGGCGGAGAGAGUAGCGGCUUAAAGUUAGGUUUUUGGAAACUAGGUUUCAUAGAUGGAGGUUGUGCGGCGGAGGAGGUAGAGCGGGGGAGGAAGUGCGGAGGAGGCGGUGGGAAGGAGUUAGGGUUUUUUUAGAUUUUGAUUUUAAACCCGGUUUGUAUGUAAACUGGUUUAAUUUGUAAACUGAAAUUUUUUGUAAUCUGGUUUAAUUUAUAAACCGAUUGUAAACCAAAUUUUUAAUAUAAACCAAAAUCAUUUAUAAACCGGUUUAAUUUAUAUAUCGAAA